rnacentral:piRNA from 1 species
AAAAUUACAUUGGUCUUGUAAAC